AUUGAAGGCUGGCGGCAGGCCUAACACAUGCAAGUCGAGCGGUAACACAGGGAGCUUGCUCCCGGGUGACGAGCGGCGGACGGGUGAGUAAUGUCUGGGAAACUGCCUGAUGGAGGGGGAUAACUACUGGAAACGGUAGCUAAUACCGCAUAACGUCGCAAGACCAAAGAGGGGGAGCUUCGGGCCUCUUGCCAUCAGAUGUGGCCAGAUGGGAUUAGCUAGUAGGUGGGGUCACGGCUCACCUAGGCGACGGUCCCUAGCUGGUCGGAGAGGAUGACCAGCCACACUGGAACUGAGACACGGUCCAGACUCCUACGGGAGGCAGCAGUGGGGAAUAUUGCACAAUGGGCGCAAGCCUGAUGCAGCCAUGCCGCGUGUAUGAAGAAGGCCUUCGGGUUGUAAAGUACUUUCAGCGGGGAGGAAGGUGCUGAGGUUAAUAACCUCAGCAAUUGACGUUACCCGCAGAAGAAGCACCGGCUAACUCUGUGCCAGCCGCCGCGGUAA
rnacentral:rRNA from 1 species